AGGAAAAUCCACGGAGCUUUGUGUGACAGCGGGGAGCACACCGCGCAACAACAUGAUGAUGAUGAAGAUAAUACCCAGAGAGAAGAGCAGCGUGCAGGACCUCUCACAGUACCACAGCAGGAAAGUGAAGAUACCACCCAAAGAGAUGAGCUGAGAGAAGAACCUCUCACAGUGCCACAGG